CGGCUCACGUAGGUUCGUUCGCGUGGUCUUCUUACGCCUCGCUGGAUCGUGUUCAGUCAUGCCGUCCUUGCGCGGCGUGAUUGUCGGCGAGUCAGGUUAAAUUCUUAAAUAGGUCGCGCCUGCGCCUAAUUGAGUCUAUAAAAGCCUGCACAUUCAGUUUUGCUAGCUACAAUGCAGUGCGGCUGGCGUGAGCUGUCUCCACGAUGCGCUUCGAGCGUGUCGAUUUCGCCGUUCUUUAUGUUGGCGUUAACGACCUUGAAAGCAACAUGGAUCCACAAGAAAUGUGCGACAACAUCAAGGCCUUGAUUGUUCAACGAGACGGCCCCCGUCGUGCUGGUUUUCAAGGUGCUCCCUCGCUGCCUAGAAGAUGCUGAUGCGGAAUAGAAAAUGCAAAAACGUCGCUUGCUCAACCGCAAAUUGACGGCUACGCUGAAGCGCAUGCCGUGUCUGCGGAAUUUGAACCCCGAGCUUUCCAGAGUUCCUUGGAAAAUCUUCCCAUGCACCUGCCAUGUACAUUGCCCUCCUCCUCGAUGUGGCGUGCAAGAUGGCAGCAGCAGCUGUGGGAACAGUUGAAGAGGCAAAGAAAGGUCCACUUUAUAAUAGGUUGUAUGUAAAUAAAACUGAUCGACCUCAA